GGGGGGGACCUUUAACUAAAAAAUAAAACCAAUUAAGUAACCAGAGUUAUGAGUCAAAUUACACAGCGUGGGAAAAUUCCAAAGAACUUGUGUAAAAUGACACAGAGCACUCUGAUUGGCAGAUUUUAAGCCAACCAGAGUGCUGUGACAGGUAAAUGUAGAGACUUACUUGUCAGUCUCUUCAUUUACCUGUCAGAGCACUCUGAUUGGAUGGCUUAACCCCACCAGAGUGAUCUGAGCCUAAUUGCAGGGCGGGGGAAGGCUUUAUAAGCCUUCCCCCACCCUGCAGAGCUCAGUCUGCGCGGAGUGAAGAUGGAUAUUUUUUUUUUUAAAGUGCGUCGGUUAUUAUGGCUUUUUUAUUUGUCCUUUUUUGGGGCUGAAAAAAGAUUUUAGAAGAAAGAAAACAUCGAAUGGUAAGGUUUAUUUUUUUUACAGGUACUUAGUUAAAGGUCCCCCCC